rnacentral:rRNA from 1 species
CGAUGUAUCUACUCGUACCUUGACGGUACCUCAUGAGAAAGCCACGGCUAACUACGUGCCAGCAGCCGCGGUAAUACGUAGGUGGCAAGCGUUGUCCGGAAUUAUUGGGCGUAAAGCGCGCGCAGGCGGUCUUUUAAGUCUGAUGUGAAAGCCCACGGCUCAACCGUGGAAGGUCAUUGGAAACUGGGAGUCUUGAGUAUAGGAGAGGAAAGUGGAAUUCCACGUGUAGCGGUGAAAUGCGUAGAGAUGUGGAGGAACACCAGUGGCGAAGGCGACUUUCUGGCCUAUCACUGACGCUGAGGCGCGAAAGCGUGGGGAGCAAACAGGAUUAGAUACCCUGGUAGUCCACGCCGUAAACGAUGAG